AGCGAACGCUGGCGGCGUGCCUAACACAUGCAAGUCGAACGUGAAAAGGGAAACCUGCGCAAAGUGGCGUACGGGUGAGUAACGCGUAGGUAAUCUACCCCAGAAUCUGGAAUAACCUGCCGAAAGGCGGGCUAAUACUGGAUAGAGCGAGGGAACUCGUAAGAGAGUUUUUCGGGAAAGGGAGCCCGCAAGGGCCUUCGUUCUGGGAUGAGCCUGCGUCUCAUUAGCUAGUUGGUAAGGUAACGGCUUACCAAGGCGAUGAUGAGUAGCUGGUCUGAGAGGAUGAUCAGCCACACUGGAACUGAAACACGGUCCAGACUCCUACGGGAGGCAGCAGUGGGGAAUCUUGCGCAAUGGACGAAAGUCUGACGCAGCCACGCCGCGGGAGGGAAGAAGGCCUUCGGGUUGUAAAGCUCUGUCGGAUGGGACGAACAUCUUCAUAGUGAAUAGCUAUGAGGACUGACGGUACCAUCAAAGGAAGCACCGGCUAACUCCGUG
rnacentral:rRNA from 1 species